rnacentral:lncRNA from 1 species
UGUGUGUGUUUACGUACCCUUGUCGUCCUCGGCGCGGGCGCUGUAGCCGGCGACUCGCUCGACGAGGUCGUAUAACACGUCCAGGAGCUGGGCGGCGAAGCUGGCCAUGGGAGCUCGUGCUGGUAAAUUUCAAUCUGCUUAGCUUAGCGAAUCGAACAGUGCUAGCUGCUUACUGCUUUGCUCCGCUUCGCCUGCUUACGACUGCUUUUGCUUUCAGCUCAGCUGUGAAGUGGUGGUGACACUGGUGAGUGAGUCGUGUUGCCAUCGCCGGGGCACGGUAUUUAUACAUGGCGCGGCGCCACCAACCGACCACGCGCACCGGCGUCCUUCGGACAAGGCCCACGCGCGUGCGCGGUAGCUACAGUAAGAGGUAGUGGCAUAUUCCAGAGCGCUCCACUACCCGCGUGCGAGCUAGGACGUGUACGUAACAUUCUCGAGCGCGACAGUUGAGUGCUGAACUACGCAUGAUUCACAUGCAUGCCGAUCGAGAAAUUCUGAUUCCCAUGAUCCGAUAACGCGUAAUCAUGCAUAGUUCAGCACUCCACUGCUACACCGUCUUUUUAUGGUCGACCACGUUCCCAAAUGGAUGGACCGCCUGCUUUAUAUUGCAACUUGUGGAAUUUGAGUAUCGAGAUCUGCAUCUUCUUGAAUCAUGUUUUUUUUUGCCGAUAAUCCAUCUUGAUGAUCUUCAUUUUCAUCAUUAUGCUAGCGAGAGCCACUUCUUUCGUUUUGGUCUUGACAUUGGCAGACUCGACAUCUAGCAUCUUGACUUGCUUGUCCGCCUCCAUCUCAGGAGGGACGUAUGCAUGUAUAUACUAUGUCUUGCAUGCCGAUGUCGUUCACGGAGCGUGCCUUGAUGUUCUCAUAAGUGGCACAAAACUUAUUGCAUUCUUGUUGGAUCAUUUUCCAUCGCUUCGGAAUAGAAACCCAUCCACGCGUGCUUUGUAUUUGGUACGACGGAAACUUCUAGCGCUCGUGAAACUCAUGAUGGACACGAAUCCAAAAGGUUGAUGCCUUUUGUUCGGCGCCGACCUUGGGGUCUUGCAGAAUGUCCCUCCAACAUUCAUAAAGGAGCUUGUCCUCGGUUGUCAUGUAUGCCUUUGUCCGUUUGCUUUUGCGCUUCCGCGGCACCACAACGGCUUGGUUGGUGAGCUCGUUCCCGAACAAAGGCUCCCCGUCGAUGUCCAUCUCAUCCUCUUCCUUGAGGCUGUAGUCAUCCCGGAACACGUGGUCGAGCAGGAAGCCGUCCAGGUCAAGGACGACCUGAUUCUGCAUGAACGCGGGUUGCAUGCCAGCUUGGUCAUAGGUCGACGGUGCGAACGGCCCGCCUCGACCGUCCUAGCUUUGGGUCUCUUCAGGAUCGUAUCCAACCGCAGCCGCGACAACACCGCCUGCGGCCGCCGCAUCACCCUCGAAGAUGAUGCGUUGCAUGAAGCGGUUGGCCCUCUCGUCGUCGAUGGCCGCCGGCAUUCCGUCGAACAGGUUGCGGGCGUCGGAGAGCAUGUGGACUGAAAUCUCCCACGCGUGUUUCCUCGACCCACCGGAUGACGAGCCACCGGUUACUGGUGUGGCGUUGAGGUCGAUGGGCGUGUGCCUUCAGCUCUUUCUCUUCGCAGACUCCCUAGCCCACUCCUCGGACGUCAGUUCCUUCUUCUUCUUGGGUGCGGUGGCGGUCUUGCGGGAGGCACGAGGCUUACCUUUGCAGGAGGGGGCAGUCGUGAUGCUGGACGAGGAAAGGGAGGCGAGACUGGCGGCGGCAUCGAGGUUAUCGUCCAUGGCGAGCGGCACAGAGCGCACGCGGGCGGGAGGGUUUAGGGAAAGUGGAGGGAAACGAUGGAGGCUUUGCCAUCGAGUGGGAGGCCAGCGGGUGUAGUUGGCGUGCAACACGCGCAUCCGUCUCGUAUACGCCGAUGGGGCGAAAAUCGGAUGCGCAUCCGUUUGGGUCGGCACGCUGGGACGAUUUUUUUAUCCGCCACGACCCAAACAGACGCGUGGACGAAAUGGGUCGACGCGUUGGGCUUGCUCUAAAUAUGCAUUAUAUUUCAUAAAAUUUAUAUUAUUAGAUUUUUAAGCGAAUGUAGUUUCUAAUUUUUUUCAUAACAUAUAAUAUAUAUUUAAGUUAAAUUGUCAUCCUAAAACUACGCACAUGCCGUGUAAAGUGAGACGGAGGGAGUACGAGUUAUCAAUUUAUGCUCUGUUUGGACAUUGGAGUUUUCAUCAGUUAAUACACUGGUUUAUGAAAAUAUCAUAGUUCCUGCGUGGCUCGGGCGCCACCGCAACCAAGAGAAAUCAGUAAGAACCCACCCUGCCCUAGAAAGAACGUCUGCGUCGCUUCUGCGGCGGCUCGGGCGGAACCCUAGCCCGCCGCCUCCGCCGCCCCCUCGUUGCGUCUCCUCCUCCCUCACCGCCGCCGGAAGAUGCCGGCAGGCUAAGCCCGCCCGGCGGAUGGCGACGGCGGGGAGAUCCUUUGUGCGCCCGCGCGUUCUAUGAUGUGGGAGUCUCCACCCUCUCGAUCCGCUCCAUUUUGGCGACCGACGUCUCCCCUCUCGCGGUUCGACGCCCCCCCCCCCCGUCAACGUGGAUCUGGAGUCUCACUCGCGUGGUCCCGUGGAGGUGGCCUCGGGUGCUCGACUCUGCCAUCCGGUUUCGGCCGGGCUGGCGCGGCGGGGUGGUGGCCAGGGCUGUGCUGCAUGGUGCGCGCCCUCUGGCUUGUGUUGGUGAUCGGCUGCGCGGUUCGGGAGGUUGCUAGUUCUGGAACUGCUUGCAAUCUGGAUGGGGACCUUCACCGGCUGGCUGUGCUACUCUUCGGCCGACCUCCAUGGCGACUAGGAGUGCCUUGCUAGCUGGCGGUUUAUGCCGACCGGUGGAGGGGUUCGGCCGACGGUUCAUGGUACUAAGGUUCCUCUUACGUCAAGAUGAAGAUCUGCCUGACAUAUGUCCUUAUGAUCUGGCCGGAGUGUGUGGUUCCAGAAGGCUCCGCUGGCGACUCCCAUGGGCGUGUUAUGCCUGGAGACUGCUGGUUCGGGUGGGACUCGGUCGUGCCGAGCAGUCCUUUGUUUAAAAGGGAGCAACGCGAAGCUCUGCUAUUUGUUACCUUCAGGAGCUAUGUUUUGCUCCAUGGUGAAGUCAGAGGCGAGAAUGUCAUGGAAGCCGAGAUUGGAGGACUGGUAAUCGUGAUUGGAGCCUAUGGCGCCAUGGAACUUGUUUGGAGUUUCGGGGUUCGUAGCAGUGGUAUGUAAGUGGGGACGACAUCACAUGUGAAUGUUCAAAGGUCAUAUCUUUCGGGAUGAAAAUCCAAGUCCUGGUCUUAAUUGAUUGUGCCUCGCAAUGACCUUGUUGAAUGCAUUGUUUAUUGAGAGCGGAGACUAACUUCAUGAUGAAAACCAAGAUCUACGAUCAGGUGACGACGACGCUUGUGCACUAUUUCCUUUUUUGAGGCGUCGCUUUUGGAGAACUUAAACUUUAUGUGUUGUUUUGGUGGUGGUUGUAUUACUGUUGCAAGGGCUUUUUUUUAGAUUCUUCUUCUUUUUGUUUUGGCUAUGUGCAUUCGUAAGGCUUUUAGGGCAUUGCGUUGUUGCAGAGGCUGAAUGUAAUUGGUAUCUUCGCGAUAUUAAUAUAUCCACUUUUAAAAAAUGAAAAUAUCAUAGUUUUAUAUACUUUAGGGUGUCUCAUUUCAUAAAUUGUGGUAUGUCCAGUACCGUUGUAAGAGUAUUGAAACAUCUCUCCACCUUAAACUCACAGGUUUUAAGAAAUCGUUUGUACCUCCGAUGAGAGGCUACAUAUGUUCAUUAAUAAGACCGAACAGGUAAGCGAUUACAACCGAUCAUACAUUGCUUGACUGCUAUGAAAGAAAUAAGAAAUGGUCGAUAGAUGUAUUCUUCAAACUCUCCCUCACUCAUAACUUGUCCAAACUGAGAAUGCUCUGGAAUGCCAAAGUCGUUAAAGAGCUGGCAACAAUAUCUUAUGGAUAUAAAUCGAAUCUCCAAUAAUGUUGUGACAUACAAUUUCACAAGAUGCUUGGUCCUCACACAAAAGGUAAGAUUGUUAGAGUUUUGAGUAUAUAUCAUGCAUGUUACCAUACAUAUUAUCUUCAAUAAUUUAUCACACAUGUUAUCUUCUAGAAUCACCUUAUACAAAGCAAUAAGAACAACGAAACAAACUAACAUUCUAAUAUCUUAACACACAUCUCCUUUUUUUUUACUAAUAGAAAAACACAAUAUUUCUCCUGCUCUCCACGUCUUAUUCUGGACUUCUAGAGAAACUUGUGGACGAGAAUAAACUCUCCACAUUUUCAGUUAGCCCAGUAACCGGUGAGUGUUAUUUAAUUGAAGAAAGUAUGAUUCAAAGAAAAUGGCCAUGCUUUUAGUAAGUUUAUUUGUCCUUCGUAUGAAAAAAUAAUCAUGAUGAAUCAAUGAAAAUGAGUACAUUUAGGGUUCACCAUGUGUGUUAGAAGAAUUUCUAAUAUAUUAUUUCUACUGCUCAAAUUUUUCUACACGACUAAGUACACGGUGUUUGCGCACAACAAUCUAAAUAUGGGACAUUUAACUUUUAUAUCGAUGUUGUUAUUGUAGAAAAGGAACCACAAUAUUGAAUCGACCAUUGCUAAGGAUUUUGAUAACCGACAUUUAAUAUCAGCAAAUUUUUCUAAAUCGAGUGUUUUGGAAUCAGAUAAAAAAAGAUUACCCAUUGCCAUCAUUUCCAUCACAAAUCAUCUCAACUUUAUCUCAGGUUUUCUGAAUAUUCUGAAUUGUAUGUUUGGAGUCAGAUAAUCAUAUGAAAAGUGAUCUAUUGCCAUCACUUCCGCCAUCAACCACCUUGACGUCAUCUUCGGUUUCUGAAUUGACGAAUGAAGCAAAAAUGUUUCUCUCUCAUUGCAACGCAUGUGCAUGGUUGCUAGUAGUAUCUAAUAGAUUGGACAUGUUGCCAUUACUGUAAGAUACUGGAUUUUCUGAGUUGCAAUAAAAGUUGUUCAUUUGGUUAAUAAAAUAGCUUCAAAUAAACUGAAGGUAAAGUUCCUGGAAGCAUGGAGCAUAGAAUUACCCCUCUGUUACAAUACAUACAAAAUAUAUACAUGUCUUUUGGGCAUGUCUUUUUAUGUCAAUAAUAACCAUAUUUUGGUGUUCAUAUGGAAAAAUAAUCAUGAUGAAUCAAUGAAAAUGAGUAUAUUUAGAGUUCACCAUGUGUGUUAGAAGAAUUUCUAAUAUAUUAUUUCUACUGCUCAAAUAUUUCUACAUGAGUAAGUUCACGGUGUUUGCACACAACAAUCUAAAUAUGGGACAUUUAACUUUAUUUCGAUGUUGUUAUUGUAGAAAAGGAACCACAAUAUUGAAUCGACCAUUGCUAAGGAUUUUGAUAACCGACAUUUAAAAUCAGCAAAAUUUUCCGAAUUGAAUGUUUUGGAAUGAGAUAAAAAAAAGAUUACCCACUGCCAUCAUUUCUGUCACAAAUCAUCUCAACUUUAUCUCGGGUUUUCUGAAUAUUCUGAAUUGAAUGUUUUGAGUCAGAUAAUCAGAUGAAAAGUGAUCUAUUGCCAUCACUUCCGCCAUCAACCACCUUGACGUCAUCUUCGGUUUUUGAAUUGACGAAUGAAGCAAAAAUGUUUUUCUCUCAUUGCAAUGCAUGUGCAUGGUUGCUAGUAGUAUCUAAUAGAUUGCACGUGUUGCCAUUAUUGUAAGAUAUUGGAUUUUCCGAGUUGCAAUAAAAGUUGUUCAUUUGGUUAAUAAAAUAGCUCCAAAUAAACUAAAGGUAAAGUUCCUGGAAGCCUGGAACAUAGACUUACCCCUCUGUUACAAUACAUACAAAAUAUAUACAUGUCUUUUGGGCAUGUCUUUUUAAGUCAAUAAUAACCAUAUUUUAGUGUCUAGAACAUGCAAGUUAUAUGUUUAGACUAUUUUCCACAACUACAUACGUAUAUGUUAAUUUGCUUGUGUUAUAGAUAUGCUAUACUUGUGCUUUUAAGGUUUUUCUGCCAUGUUCCCUUAAGAAACGGUCGCUCCCAUGUGGAGUUUGUUACCAUCUUUUCCUUCUAUAUGGAAUUGCAGUGUUUUCCAGGUUUCUCAAGAAAAAAGACCCAUGUCUAUAUCCAAGCUAACAUGUAUUUAUCUCUCAAUAUUGACAAACAUUUUGAGCAUUGUCUUUGCCUUUUCUUUGGUCUUCCCGGGCAUUCUUUUUUUCAUACUAAAAAAAGACAAAUAUUUUGAGCAUCAUCUUUGCCUUUUCUUUGGUCUUCUCGGGCAUUCGUGUUUUCCAUACUAAAAAAAAUCGACCCAAGGGAAGAGAAAUCCCGAAGGCAUUAUAUUGUAAGGUCGAAAAAAGGCCCCGAACGUCGGCUUAAGCAGCGCAAGUAUAUGCAGCGAACACGCCAGCCUGCACAACCCAAGUAUACAUAGCGAGGGGCCUUUUUUUCGUGAGAACCAGGUUCAAGCCCUGGUUGGUAGCCCCACUCCAGGAGGUCUUUACCACCGUGCUAGACGCACGUUCUCAUGCUUUUCGUACUAGCUUCAACGUGAGAGUAAACGGAAAAUAAUAAUAAUAAAAUCUUAAGAUAAUAGCUUCUACAAACAUGAUAAUUAGAAAAUUAACAAGCAUGUCGAUCAAGUUACUGCUUUAUUGGCCUUACUAGUUCAAAGUACAUAAAAGAACGACAAGCAUAAACCUCGAUCAGGAAGUUAAGUAGCAAUACACGGUAUAGUAAGGAAUCAACAAAGUGAAACAUUACUGGGACACACAUGAGCUUAUUAUCCAAAGUUUCGAAACACAGCAGCAAGUAGACUAUCUUGAUCACACUGAUCUUGAGUCCAUGAGAAACCACACGGCCGUUAUGUAUGUCUCUGCCGUACGUAGAGGCUAGCGAGCUCUACAUACCAUCCAUGUUAAUUGACCUGGGCGCCUGAUCCUCCUGGUACUUCCGGGUGAUUUCUGGACCUGAUCUCGACAACUUCCUCUGUCCGGAAAGCCUCCGUAGUUGCCAACUUGCUGUGCUUCUCUAGAUCUGCAUGUAUGCGCAGGAAGACACACACGUAGAAAAUCAUCAACAAUUAUAGAUAGUAGAAAUUAGAAUGAAUUCCACUUUUUACCAUGUAGUUGUACCUUUGUGACACAUAUUACCCCAUUUAAUCAAACUUCUAUCAAAAUAUUAGAUUUUGAGGACUUUUAACACGGUUUUAUCUCAAUUCUGCACUUUGUUUAUUUACGUUAGAUAGGAUCGGCAUGUUGCGUUAAUGAUUCGUAAAAGAAAGUACAAAGAUCGAAGAGCAACAUUAACGAUCAUAUCCAGGCUUUUUUUAUCCAUUUAUUCCAUUCCUCCUCGUCGUCAUGAUAUUUUUGGACCCCAAUCGUCACCUCACAUCUUACUUAAUGGACACGCAUCAGAAAAUAAGGAUGCAAAGCUUCUAAAAUAUGUAUUCUAGACAAAUUUUUACUCGUCGAGAUGGUUAGUGUCACAAAUGCAUAUCUAAAGGAAGAAAUGUUGAAUUCACUCUAGAAAUUAACUACAACUGCAGCAAUGCUAUAUAUUGUCAUAGGAGUGUCACUCGCGCUCGUGUUUUUACGUACCCUUGUCAUCUUCGGCGCGGGCGCUGUAGCCGGUGACGCGCUCGACGAGGUCGUAGAACACGUCCAGGAGCUGGGAGGCGAAGCUGGCCAUGGGAGCUGUUGCUGGUAAAUUUCAACCUGCUUAGUUUAGCGAAUCGAACAAUGCUAGCUGCUUACUGCUUUGCUCUGCUUGACCUGCUUACUACUGCUUUUGCUUUCAGCUCAGCUGUGAAGUGGUGGUGCCACUGGUGAGUGAGUC